UACAGAGGUGGCAAGCGUUGUUCGGAUUUACUGGGCGUAAAGGGCGCGUAGGCGGCGCGGUAAGUCACUUGUGAAAUCUCUGAGCUUAACUCAGAACGGCCAAGUGAUACUGCAGUGCUAGAGUGUGGAAGGGGCAAUCGGAAUUCUUGGUGUAGCGGUGAAAUGCGUAGAUAUCAAGAGGAACACCUGAGGUGAAGACGGGUUGCUGGGCCAACACUGACGCUGAUGCGCGAAAGCCAGGGGAGCAAACGGG
rnacentral:rRNA from 1 species